rnacentral:rRNA from 1 species
AUUGAACGCUGGCGGCAUGCUUUACACAUGCAAGUCGAACGGUAACAGGCCUUCGGGUGCUGACGAGUGGCGAACGGGUGAGUAAUGCAUCGGAACGUACCCAGAGGUGGGGGAUAACGCAGCGAAAGCUGUGCUAAUACCGCAUGUGAUCUGAGGAUGAAAGCGGGGGACCGAGCAGCAAUGUUUGGCCUCGCGCCUUUGGAGCGGCCGAUGUCGGAUUAGCUAGUUGGUGGGGUAAAGGCCUACCAAGGCGACGAUCCGUAGCUGGUCUGAGAGGACGACCCGGCACACUGGGAACGAGAAACGGGCCAGAAUCCUAAGGGGGGGAGGAGGGGGGAAUUUUGGACAAGUGGGGGAAGCCUGAUCCAGCAAUGCCGGGGGGGGGAAGAAGGCCUUUGGGUUGUAAACCGCUUUUGGCAGGAACGAAACGGUGUCCGCUAAUACCGGGCGCUAAUGACGGUACCUGCAGAAUAAGCACCGGCUAACUACGUG